GAUGAACGCUGGCGGCGUGCCUAAUACAUGCAAGUCGAGCGAACAGAUGAGGAGCUUGCUCCUCUGACGUUAGCGGCGGACGGGUGAGUAACACGUGGAUAACCUACCUAUAAGACUGGGAUAACUUCGGGAAACCGGAGCUAAUACCGGAUAAUAUAUUGAACCGCAUGGUUCAAUAGUGAAAGACGGUUUUGCUGUCACUUAUAGAUGGAUCCGCGCCGCAUUAGCUAGUUGGUAAGGUAACGGCUUACCAAGGCAACGAUGCGUAGCCGACCUGAGAGGGGGAUCGGCCACACUGGGACUGAGACCCGGUCCAGACCCCUACGGGAGGCCGCAGUAGGGAAUCUUCCGCAAUGGGCCAAAGCCUGACGGAGCAACGCCGCGUGAGGUAUGAAGGUCUUCGGAUCCUAAAACUCUUUUAAUAGGGAAAAACAAAUGUGUAAGUAACUAUGCACCUCCUGACGGUACCUAAUCAGAAAGCCACCGCUAACUACC
rnacentral:rRNA from 1 species